ACCAAAUAUAUCCGGUGCACCACUUCUUCAUAAGUAGCCACCUAACUCAUCAUCACCCUCGGGCAUUAGUGGCACCCGACAUGGUUUUCAUAAAACCUUUGAUUUUUACCAUCAUCAUGCUCAUGCUUCUAUUAUGCUUAGCUCUACUUGUCAACAUAAUAUUAGUGUGACCCUCAUAGGUGGUAGGAUCAUGCUCAAAUGCAAGGGCUCCGGAGGAGCCAUCGGAAACAUCAUAUCGAUGAUUUACCGAAUACUCAUGAUCAUAUACAACAGGAAUAAUUGAUCUACUAG
rnacentral:lncRNA from 1 species